rnacentral:rRNA from 1 species
UACAGAGGGUGCGAGCGUUAAUCGGAAUUACUGGGCGUAAAGCGUGCGUAGACGGUUUUGUAAGUCGGAUGUGAAAUCCCCGGGCUCAACCUGGGAAUUGCAUUCGAAACUGCCAAGCUAGGGUACGGUAGAGGGAAGCGGAAUUUCCGGUGUAGCGGUGAAAUGCGUAGAUAUCGGAAGGAACAUCAGUGGCGAAAGCGGCUUCCUGGACCAGUACCGACGUUCAGGCACGAAAGCUAGGGGAGCGAAAGGG